rnacentral:misc_RNA from 1 species
AAGCCGAAGGAGCUGAACUUG